CAAAUCUUAGCGGUGGAUCACUCGGUUCGUGGAUCGAUGAAGAACGCAGCUAGCUGCGAUAAAUAGUGCGAAUUGCAGACACAUUGAGCACUAAAAAUUCGAACGCACAUUGCGCCAUCGGGUUCAUUCCCGUUGGCACGUCUGGCUGAGGGUUGAA
rnacentral:rRNA from 6 species